GACGAACGCUGGCGGCGUGCCUAAUACAUGCAAGUUGAGCGCUGAAGGUUGGUACUUGUCCCCACUGGAUGAGCAGCGAACGGGUGAGUAACGCGUGGGGAAUCUGCCUUUGAGCGGGGGACAACAUUUGGAAACGAAUGCUAAUACCGCAUAAAAACUUUAAACACAAGUUUUAAGUUUGAAAGAUGCAAUUGCAUCACUCAAAGAUGAUCCCGCGUUGUAUUAGCUAGUUGGUGAGGUAAAGGCUCACCAAGGCGAUGAUACAUAGCCGACCUGAGAGGGUGAUCGGCCACAUUGGGACUGAGACACGGCCCAAACUCCUACGGGAGGCAGCAGUAGGGAAUCCUCGGCAAUGGACGAAAGUCUGACCGAGCAACGCCGCGUGAGUGAAGAAGGUUUUCGGAUCGUAAAACUCUGUUGGUAGAGAAGAACGUUGGUGAGAGUGGAAAGCUCAUCAAGUGACGGUAACUACCCAGAAAGGGACGGCUAACUACGUG
rnacentral:rRNA from 1 species